rnacentral:rRNA from 1 species
AUUGAACGCUGGCGGCAGGCUUAACACAUGCAAGUCGAGCGGGGUGAGGUGCUUCGGUACUGAUCCUAGCGGCGGACGGGUGAGUAAUGCUUAGGAAUCUGCCAUUUAGUGGGGGACAACAUUCCGAAAGGAAUGCUAAUACCGCAUACGUCCUACGGGAGAAAGCAGGGGAUCUUCGGACCUUGCGCUAAAUGAUGAGCCUAAGUCGGAUUAGCUAGUUGGUGGGGUAAAGGCCUACCAAGGCGACGAUCUGUAGCGGGUCUGAGAGGAUGAUCCGCCACACUGGGACUGAGACACGGCCCAGACUCCUACGGGAGGCAGCAGUGGGGAAUAUAGGACAAUGGGCGGAAGCCUGAACCAGCCAUGCCGCGUGUGUGAAGAAGGCCUUUUGGUUGUAAAGCACUUUAAGCGAGGAGGAGGCUACCUGGAUUAAUACUCUGGGAUAGUGGACGUUACUCGCAGAAUAAGCACCGGCUAACUCUGUGCCAGCCGCCGCCGUAAGAC